GUACCAGACUCCUACGGGAGGCAGCAGUGGGGAAUUUUGGACAAUGGGCGCAAGCCUGAUCCAGCUAUUCCGCGUGUGGGAUGACGGCCCUCGGGUUGUAAACCACUUUAGUAGAGAACGAAAAGGAGCUAUCGAAUAAAUAGCUCUGCUGACGGUACUCUAAGAAUAAGCACCGGCUAACUCCGUGCCAGCAGCCGCGGUAAUACGGAGGAUGCGAGCGUUAUCCGGAUUUAUUGGGUUUAAAGGGUGCGUAGGCGGACGCUUAAGUCAGCGGUAAAAUUGCGGGGCUCAACCUCGUCGAGUCGUUGAAACUGGGUGCCUUGAGUGGGCGAGAAGUACGCGGAAUGCGUGGUGUAGCGGUGAAAUGCAUAGAUAUCACGCAGAACUCCGAUUGCGAAGGCAGCGUACCGGCGCCCAACUGACGCUGAAGCACGAAGGCGUGGGUAUCGAACAGGAUUAGAUACCCGCGUAC
rnacentral:rRNA from 1 species